UGGGGAAUAUUGGACAAUGGGCGAAAGCCUGAUCCAGCCAUGCCGCGUGUGUGAAGAAGGUCUUCGGAGUGUAAAGCUCUUUUAGUGAGGAAGAUAAUGACGGUACUCACAGAAGAAGUCCUGGCUAACUCCGUGCCAGCAGCCGCGGUAAUACGGAGAGGGCUAGCGUUAUUCGGAAUUAUUGGGCGUAAAGGGCGCGUAGGCUGAUUAAUAAGUUAAAAGUGAAAUCCCGAGGCUUAACCUUGGAAUUGCUUUUAAAACUAUUAAUCUAGAGAUUGAAAGAGGAUAGGGGAAUUCCUGAUGUAGAGGUAAAAUUCGUAAAUAUUAGGAGGAACACCAGUGGCGAAGGCGUCUAUCUGGUUCAAAUCUGACGCUGAGGCGCGAAGGCGUGGGGAGCAAACA
rnacentral:rRNA from 1 species